AUAUAUAUAUAUAUAUAUAUAUAUAUAUAUAUAUAUGAAUGCAUAUCAUGUGGCUCCUUAAUGGAUUAAGAGAGUUCUUAUAAGUUGGACCUAAUUAUAGUGUCCUAGUGUGGCUUUCUAUGUUCUCUUGAUUUAGUACUUUCAAGUGUGCUUCAGGUUAAAAAUUGAUGUAGAUAUAGUUUGAUUAGAUUAUUGUUCAUGUUGUUGUUGUUAUCAUCAUCAUCAUCAUCUAAUUAUGUGGAUUUUCGGCUGCCCUGAAAUAUUUAGAAAUCGGGCAGUUCUGAAACUUCUGAAAAUUGUAGCCACUGAUCAUCUAAAUGGAAUUAUGUUUAUAU